GUUGCCACGGGCGACGAGGACGCCGACGCCGCGAGCGCCAGUUAGUGGCCGCACUUGGGAAAACAUCAGAUAACACUGGCUGACGAUUCCUUCUAUAAAUGGAUGCAGUUGAGAAUUUCCAGAGCUCAUUUGGAAAAUAAAAAUGCAAUUAAUGAGAACUCCGGCUUCUCACUCUGCCAGAUGAAUGAGCUUCCAGUUGGAGAAUGAAUUGUCACCAUGGCUCCGACUGUCAUGAUUUCUUUUCCUGUUGCCGUGUGGAUGUGUGUCUGGUUCAGGAUGAGUGUGUAUGUACAAUUAAGCCAUGGUGUAGAGCCCGUUAAGAUAUGUGCAUUUUCUUUCCUGCCUCAAUUCCCGGCGGAGUGGUUAGGUCAUGCCUGCAUUUGAGCACUCCCGUCUUUAACCGCAAAGGUUAGAGCAGCAAAAGGGGUGUUUGGAAAAACAAACACCCUGUAGCUAAGCCCUUGGACCCCCUUUUGCUCUUCCAAUAAACACCCA